rnacentral:misc_RNA from 1 species
CACAGAUUGAGAACCCAUAGACGGAAUGCUAAACACUCUAAGACAUCAGAAAUAGAGAACUAAGUCAGAUAGAAGUAUGUGAGUGCUUCACCAAAGAUAAAUAACAAGAGAACCAAACAACAAACAAUGGGGUGAGUUAACUCAAACAUAGGCGGUGGUGAAGUGAGUUAAAGAAACAGGAAUGGACUAUGGGUAAACAUAUCUUACAUUCACAAGUACAGAAACAAGAGUAAAGAUGCACUUCAACUUUAGCAAGUCAAUUCACUAAAAUCUACGUAUGACUUCUCGAGAAAGAGGAGAAGGGAGUCGAAGCAGGCCAGUACAGCACAAAUGCAGGACAAAUGUGAGACGGUAAGAGUGUGAGGCGACAGUGCAUCAGUAAAAGAGACUUGGAGCCCUAGCAUAAACUAAGCUGAGCCUAAGCUUGGCAUCAGAGCUCUGGGCUUCAGCCUUGGGAGGGUUGAUUGGGCUAGAAAACUUUUUAAACUGAGGAGUACUGUAUAGAGAACCCCAAAACCUCUUUCACUUUGAUUUUCCAGUUAACUGAAGAACCAUAUUUAUAAACCGAUAAUGUUAGAAACAUUAACCAUGAACCGACCAAAAACCACAAAAUCAAAAUUUUCGUUUCAGAUAAUUUUCUUGAUUUAAUGCCCACUCCUUUAGUUAAAACCGAAAAAACUGUCCGAACCAAAUUUUUUUGGUUCACAGUUCUUCAGUCGGUUUCGGUCUUAAAAGUUUCAAGGUUCGUUUACAGUUGAGUACUCAAUUUUUUGAAAAAUAAGUCUAUUAAACCAAAUAAACAAUCUUAUACAUGUAUAUGCUAUUUCUCACUUUACUUUUGCAAAAUGCAGCAAGAUUGGCUGUAGUUUAAUUACAUGCUUCUAUUAGACACCUUACGAGCUUUCAUAUGUUUUUAGUGAUGCUUUAAUUUGCAACUCUACCUCAUUAAAAAUAUGAUUUUUGUUUUACAAAGGAAAAUAGCUCCUUUAGGUGCUAGUCUGAAUUUAGAUAUUCCAUAUUUCUACCUUCAUCAAAAAAAGAAAUUCCCUAUUACUACAUUCUACUUGAGAAAAUUUUAAGGAAAUUACUAUUCAGUAAAGCAUCUCAUAAAAGUCAAGCACCUAUCCCCUCUAAAUAUUAUUCGAAAUCUGAAUUUCCUGGAAAGUACCAUAAUCCUAAAACAAUUACAUCAAACUUGAGUGCAGAAUUCAAUAGGGUGAGAAAGAAAGAUAACUAGUCAAAUG